ACAAUGAAGAGUUUGAUCCUGGCUCAGGAUGAACGCUGGCGGCAGGCUUAACACAUGCAAGUCGAGGGGCA
rnacentral:rRNA from 1 species